rnacentral:rRNA from 1 species
UCAACGCUGGCGGCGUGCCUCAGACAUGCAAGUCGAACGAGAAGUCCCCUUCGGGGGAUGGACAGUGGCGCACGGGUGAGUAACACGUGGGUAAUUUACCUCGGUGGGGAACAACAGCCGGAAACGGCUGCUAAUACCGCAUAAUGCAGCGGCUCGACAUCGAGACAGUUGUUAAAGCGGGGGAUCCAAAAGACCUCGCGCCUGAAGAGAAGCCCGCGGCAGAUUAGCAGGUUUGGUAGGGUAAUGGCCUACCAAGGCGACGAUCUGUAACCGGCCUGAGAGGGCGGUCGGUCACACUGACACUGACAUACGGGUCAGGCUCCUACGGGAGGCAGCAGUCGGGAAUUUUGGGCAAUGGGCGCAAGCCUGACCCAGCAACGCCGCGUAGAAGGAA